UUGACCUCGGAUCAGGUAGGGAUACCCGCUGAACUUAAGCAUAUCAAUAAGCGGAGGAAAAGAAACCAACAGGGAUUGCCUCAGUAACGGCGAGUGAAGCGGCAACAGCUCAAAUUUGAAAUCUGGCUCUUUCAGGGUCCGAGUUGUAAUUUGUAGAAAUGCUUUGGGUGUGGCUCCGGUCUAAGUCCUGGAACAGGACGUCAUAGAGGUGAGAAUCCCGUAUGUGAUGGCUGCUUC
rnacentral:rRNA from 1 species